rnacentral:rRNA from 1 species
AGUCGAGCGGUAACAUUUCUAGCUUGUUAGAAGAUGACGAGCGGCGGACGGGUGAGUAACGCGUAGGAAUCUGCCUAGUAGUGGGGGACAACAUGUGGAAACGCAUGCUAAUACCGCAUACGCCCUGAGGGGGAAAGGAGGGGAUCUUAGGACCUUUCGCUAUUAGAUGAGCCUGCGUGAGAUUAGCUAGUUGGUGAGGUAAAGGCUCACCAAGGCGACGAUCUCUAGCUGGUCUGAGAGGAUGAUCAGCCACACUGGGACUGAGACACGGCCCAGACUCCUACGGGAGGCAGCAGUGGGGAAUAUUGGACAAUGGGCGCAAGCCUGAUCCAGCCAUGCCGCGUGUGUGAAGAAGGCCUUAGGGUUGUAAAGCACUUUCAGGAGUGAGGAAGGGUGUACGGUUAAUACCCGUAUAUUUUGACGUUAGCUCCAGAAGAAGCACCGGCUAACUCUGUGCCAGCAGCCGCGGUAAUACAGAGGGUGCAAGCGUUAAUC